AAAUUAGAGUCAGUGAGUCCGCCGAUUUAAGACUUAAACGCGCGCGUUGAUAGUAUUUUAUUUUUCUUUUUUUAUAUUUUCUCUUAUUCAACAUUCGGUAUAUUAGAGUCAGUGCUCAAGAGGAUAAGGCCUCUCCUGGAGAUCAAGAUCAUGCAUCACAGCAUCAAUUCUUUUGCAUUUUUUGCGGAAAAUCCAGCGGUGGCUCUAAAACUAAGAAUAUCCUCCACAGUCUCCAAUACUCCUUUACCUAUUCAAGGAGGAUCUUCACAACGACUUUCCUUGGUCCAGCAUCGAUUGUAACGUUCUUCACAUC